rnacentral:snRNA from 1 species
AUCGCUUCUCGGCCUUUUGGCUAAGAUCAAGUGUAGAAAUCCCAUUAAUAAUUCAUACUUCCACUUGAUGAAUAUUGUCUGCAAUAGUAUUUUUCUGAUUUCUUCCAGAAAAAGAAUUAUUCUC